rnacentral:lncRNA from 1 species
GGUAUUCCAUUUCUGGGUCGUCUUUGAGCCACAUACAUGCAUGUCAUGGAUACAUAAUAUGAGAUGAUUAUUUUUAUUACAUGACCAGCAAAACUGAAUAUUAAGUACUAAAAUGAUCAACCGCUCAGCGAGCAUUUGCUAUUAAAAAUUGCACUAGCUUUACUAUCUUGAUUGUACUGACAUAAUAUUAUUCGGUUGACGUUUGGCUCCAGUUCUAAUGCUUGUCGCUCAUCAAGCUUCAUUUGCAGGGAGAGAUAACACCAAACGAAUAUGAUUCAGUUGAGCACGUCUGUGUUGGUGUAUUAUGUUCAACAAAUGAACUAAAAUUAUCUCGCACACAAAUGAGUUUCACCCUUGCAGUCGUAGACUUCUUCUGUUCAUAUGUACUCGAGAUGCUUCUGGUGUCAGAGCAUCACCCAUCUACAAAUACAUGAACAAUUUUAUAGUUUACAUCACAAGGCAAGAAACUGAAAAUAAUUAUGUUCUUUUGCGGACUAAAAGUACACUCAGAGCUAAGCUUACAUAUAAAAAAGACUCUGAUGGGCACACUCAAGAGUGUACUCAAGCAUAAAAAAUGCAAACUUAUAACACAACUUAGCCUGCAAAUAGCCGUACAAAAGAACUGAGAUGAAAAAUUAUUUCCGGUGUCAGAGAAACCUACCUUUGACCAUGAUUCAGCUUCAAAGUGUAGCAUUGAUGCUGCUCUUUGCUCCCUUAAUUCUGGAUUCCAGUAUGCAAGGCGAAAGACUUCAACGAGCACCACUACUAGAGAGAAGAAC